GCAUUUAGAGGUAAUCAAUCUGCAUUACAUGCCCAACACGCUAUAAGCCUAUAACAUAUAAUCUGCAUAGGCAUAGGGAUGGUGACGAGCAUAGUUGCGUAUAUGGAGUCCCACGAUUUCUUGCAAGUGGGUUACUAAAGGCUGUUUCCAAAGGGACGCAAGGCAGGGAGAUUUUGGUCAUUUUGCAUUUGCAAAACAAGCAUGGCAGUCUAGUUGUGGUUGGACUUUCGGCUGAAGCAAUUGAAUAGAUAACGCAACAGAAUAACCUCCAUUAAUCAUGCAUAUCUACACCAUUUGACUUCACAGUCAAUGCCAAGGUUUUGCUUGUAGGACUAUACUUGCGUACUUUGUUGGGCUCUUACCCUUUACUCACUUUUAGUUUUGUAUAUGGAAAAAAAAAGGAAAAGGUUUAUGGUAAACUGCUAAUUUGUCCCAUUAGAAAGAAAGCAAAAAAUGUUAGUUUGAUCUGAGACUAAUCUCUAAAAUCGUGUUUCUUAACUUGGAGAUAAAAAAUUAGCUUUUUGGUUUCUCAUUUGAAAGGA